rnacentral:misc_RNA from 1 species
GGUGAAGAACGCAGCGAAAUGCGAUAAGUAAUGUGAAUUGCAGAAUUCAGUGAAUCAUCGAAUCUUUGAACGCACAUUGCGCCCGCCAGUAUUCUGGCGGGCAUGCCUGUUCGAGCGUCAUUUCAACCAUCAAGCCCCCGGCUUGUGUUGGGGACCUGCGGCUGCCGCAGGCCCUGAAAACCAGUGGCGGGCUCGCUAGUCACUCCGAGCGUAGUAAUACAUCUCGCUCAGGGCGUGCUGCGGGUUCCGGCCGUUAAAAAGCCUUAUUUACCCAAGGUUGACCUCGGAUCAGGUAGGAAGACCCGCUGAACUUAAGCAUAUCAAUAAGCGGAGGA